UGGUGCUACUUUAUUUGAACAAAAUAUCGAAGAUUCUCAACAGGGUUUUUUUUUAUAAAAUUUAAAAAAGUUGAUUUUUAUAACCUACCUUCCCAAUUACCCAUUUGCAACAGUAGUCUAUCCGUGAAUUAUAGAAAACAAUUUAAUAUUAUUUCGUGUGUGUCAAUUGGACGUGAUUAUUAUAUAAAUCCGAGAUAGAUGGUGUUUAAAAGUUGUGGAAAAAAUUGAAUU